CUCCAGAGCUGCAUAGGUGGUUCUUAGUAGCACUUGAAGAGCUUGGUGGUGCUCAUGGUGUGUCUCGAACCAAUUUAUUUUUAGUACUAUUUGUCACGCAAACUUGAACUCAGUGAUCUAAUAGCUGCUCUAGGGGAGACCACUGGGAAGCCUGCUUUUGAAAGGGUUCUUGAAAUAAUGAAGAGAAGUCCCAAGGGCAGGGUGGCACCUCUGCUGUUUCAAGCAUUUUCAACUAUUCCAUACAUUUCACAAGUUUCAUUUAUCGGAACAGAUGGUUUGUUCUUAUCAUACUACAAAUGCCGUAUAUUCCAACUACUCAUUGCCUAUCAACCGAAAAAAGCUCAACAGUGUACACAUGGUACACUCAUCCAGUUGGUCGCAACACUGGAAUGCCAUACGGAGAAGCUAUGAUUACUCCUCCGAGUACUACAAAUGCAACUACAGACAGAUGAAGUGGUCUCUGUAACAAUCUGCAUCAAACCCACAAGUUUCCUCCAAAGGUUAUUUAUGUGCAAGCAAAAUUUCUUGAUACAUAUUAAUUUCAAGAUCUUAAUUUGUCCAAGUUAAAGUCAUCUCACAACGGAAUGCAAAGCGAUUGAUUGGGUUAACAAUUAUAAUUUUGUGAGUUUUAAUUAAUUUCAUCUAUUUAUUCAUUGUGACAAUCAUUUUGUGUAUUGUACUAAAAAUUGAUGGUGAUGAAUAAAAUGGUUAACCUGAAUUUUACUUUGUAUAGCAAGCUGUUGGAAUAAUAGUUUCAAAACUCAAUGCUCUGUUUCAUCGAAAGGAAUGGACUUUGGUGCCAAUGGAAUAAAACUGUUUUAUUUUAAGGGUACUAUCAUGACAAUUUCGAAGGACAGGGUGAAACCAUCUCCUCUGCCUGAUAGCUGGAAGCUUGCUGAGAUUUUUACCACUGGUAUUGUUCUUGGUAGUUACUUGGCAAUGAUGACAGUUA